rnacentral:rRNA from 1 species
AUUGAACGCUGGCGGCAGGCCUAACACAUGCAAGUCGAGCUGCGGCGGACGGGUGAGUAACGCGUAAAGAACUUGCCUCACAGCUAGGGACCACAUUUGGAAACGAAUGCUAAUACCUAAUACUGUGAGAGAGCUUUGCGUCCCAUUAGCUAGUUGGAGAGGUAACGGCUCAGCAAGGCGAUGCUGGGUAGCCGGCCUGAGAGGGUGAUCGGCAAAUAGGGGACUGAGACACGGCACUUAAUCAUACGGGAGGCAGCAGUGGGGAAUAUUGGACAAUGGACCAAAGUCUGAGCAAGCAAUUCGGUGUGAACGAUGAAGUUUUCGGAAUGUAAAGUGCUGUCAGUUGGGAAGCGGUACCAACAGAAGAAGUGACGGCUAAAUACGUGCCAGCAGCCGAGGUAAUAC